AUACGGGGGUGCAAGCGUUGUUCGGAUUUACUGGGCGUAAAGGGCGCGUAGGCGGACUUCCAAGUCGGUUGUGAAAACUGUCGGCUUAACCGGCAGCCUGCUUCCGAUACUGUUAGUCUUGAGUACAGGAGAGGAGAGUGGAAUUCCAGGUGUAGCGGUGAAAUGCGUAGAUAUCUGGAAGAACACCAGUAGCGAAGGCGGCUCUCUGGACUGAUACUGACGCUAAAGCGCGAAGGCUUGGGUAGC
rnacentral:rRNA from 1 species